CACGUAGGGCGCGAGCGUUGUCCGGAAUUAUUGGGCGUAAAGAGCUCGUAGGCGGCCUGUUGCGUCCGCUGUGAAAGCCCGGGGCUUAACCCCGGGUCUGCAGUGGAUACGGGCAGGCUAGAGGUAGGUAGGGGAGAAUGGAAUUCCCGGUGUAGCGGUGAAAUGCGCAGAUAUCGGGAGGAACACCGGUGGCGAAGGCGAUCAUCUGGGGUUGUUCUGACGCUGAGGAGCGAAAGCUAGGGGAGCAAACGGG
rnacentral:rRNA from 1 species